AUCCAGCUGAUGAGUCGUAAAUAGGAUGAAACGUGCUUCGUCCUGUAU
rnacentral:hammerhead_ribozyme from 1 species